GGUUUCUGCUUUCCUUUUUGAAUAUUGACUAUGAUAGUGAAUAUCCUUGAAUCCAAACUACACAGUUAUGAGGAGGUAUCCCUAUGUCACAAGUUUUCACAGUAAAAAGUGAGCGCACAGAAAACACUUGGAGGAAGAGCUGCUACUGUGGAGUCUCGUGAAUCUUGGUGAACAUGUCUUAGAAGAUGAAAACUCUGCAAUUCUUGUCUGCUUGUCUUUGUCUCGAGGAUCAUCAGAUGUGUUGUAUCUAAAAGGACCCGGAGGUGGAGAUCCGUUUUUCUUCUGUACUACCAAUAUCUCCUGUAAAUGAUAGUUAUAAAGAAGCUUCCAACAUGAUGCGAUCUGAGUAUGAAUUGUUUUAUCAUAUGACCGCCCACCCUUCCCCAGAGUGAUGCUAUUUAAAAGC